GAUGAACGCUGGCGGCGUGCUUAACACAUGCAAGUCGAACGAAGCAUUUAAGACAGAUUACUUCGGUUUGAAGUCUUUUAUGACUGAGUGGCGGACGGGUGAGUAACGCGUGGGUAACCUGCCUCAUGCAGGGGGAUAGCAGCUGGAAACGGCUGGUAAUACCGCAUAAGCGCACGGUAUCGCAUGAUACAGUGUGAAAAACUCCGGUGGUAUGAGAUGGACCCGCGUCUGAUUAGCUGGUUGGUGAGGUAACGGCCCACCAAGGCGACGAUCAGUAGCCGACCUGAGAGGGUGACCGGCCACAUUGGGACUGAGACACGGCCCAGACUCCUACGGGAGCAGCAGUGGGGAAUAUUGCACAAUGGGGGAAACCCUGAUGCAGCGACGCCGCGUGAAGGAAGAAGUAUUUCGGUAUGUAAAGCUCUGUCAGCAGGGAANAUAAUGACGGUACUGACCAAGAAGCCCCGG
rnacentral:rRNA from 1 species